GAUGAAGAACGCAGUGAAAUGCGAUAAGUAAUGUGAAUUGCAGAAUUCAGUGAAUCAUCGAAUCUUUGAACGCACAUUGCGCCCGCUAGUAUUCUGGCGGGCAUGCCUGUUCGAGCGUCAUUUCAACCCUCAAGCACUGCUUGGUGUUGGGGCCCUGCGCCUGCAGGCCCUGAAAUACAGUGGCGGAUCGCCCGGAAAUCUCUCUGCGUAGUACUUAACACCUCGCUCUGGGACCCGGCGGUGCCUGCCGUAAACCCCCCAAAUUUACCAAGGUUGACCUCGGAUCAGGUAGGAAUACCCGCUGAACUUAAGCAUAUCAAUAAGCGGAAGGA
rnacentral:misc_RNA from 1 species